rnacentral:rRNA from 1 species
UACGUAGGGUGCAAGCGUUGUCCGGAAUUAUUGGGCGUAAAGAGCUCGUAGGCGGUUUGUCACGUCGGAUGUGAAACCCUGAGGCUCAACCUCAGGCCUGCAUUCGAUACGGGCAGACUAGAGUUCGGUAGGGGAGUCUGGAAUUCCUGGUGUAGCGGUGAAAUGCGCAGAUAUCAGGAGGAACACCGGUGGCGAAGGCGGGGCUCUGGGCCGAUACUGACGCUGAGGAGCGAAAGCGUGGGGAGCGAACAGG